UUCAGGGGUAAACCUGAGAAACCCGAAAGGUCGAAAGGGGAGAUUCAGCGUGACUCGAUCGUAGCGCUGGACGGUCGUGCGACAGACGGCGUACGCGUUGUCCGCGCCUUCCGUUCUCCGAACUGCGGUCGAACGCGUGCACUUCUCCUCCUGUAGGACGUCGCGAUUCGUUGGGCGCCGGUCUAAGGCCCGAGGUGGAGUCCGUCAGGACGUUUCGGCGUUCCUGGCGAACCCUCGGUGUUUCCCGGUCGGCUCGCUCGACGAUAUACAGAUGGCGCGGGGCCGCUAUUCAGUUAGCGUUCGACCUUCGGCAAGCGCGUCCGUCGUGACGGUGAUCGGACCUGGUGCCGGUCCCGUCCCCGGACGGCUGUUCGCUGAGGUGUUCUCGAACAGACCUCGUUGAAACGCCGAUCUGCGACGCUAUAGCUUUGGGUACUUUCAGGACCCGUCUUG
rnacentral:rRNA from 1 species